AUACUUACCUGGCUGGGGAGAUACCGUGAUCAAGAAGGCGGUUCACCCAGGGCGAGGCUCAGCCAUUGCACUUCGGCUGUGCUGACCCCUGCGAAUUCCCCAAAUGUGGGAAUCUCGACUGCAUAAUUUCUGAUAGUAGGGGACUGCGUUCGCGCUCUCCCCUG
ensembl:snRNA U1 U1 spliceosomal RNA